UGGUAGAGCUCCCAAUACAGAGCGCCUAGCAAUAAAACAUGAGCAAAACAGCCCACACAGGAGCAACUUGUGUGUGUGUGUGUGUGUGUGUGUGUGUUGUCGGUUGGACCACAUCCUAGAAGAUCCUUUUUUCCCUGCUCAGUGGAGCUCACGCACAGCAGCUGUACAAUUGCCCCGGCAGGUUAAUCCCCGACACCACUAGGAAUGCCGGGCUCUACCCUUCAUCAGCUCAUUGCGGAUUCCUUCAGAGAGGUGAAGGCCUUCAAUAAGCACUCUGCACGGCAUGAUGAAAGGACGAGGAGGAGGAAGGGAGCUAAAGAACGUGGGGGAUGGGCGUGCUGAGCAAAAAUUGCCGUGCGGAAUAAACGAUCGCAAACUAAUCUGUGAGAUGUCAGAUAAGCGCUUGAGUGCGAGGAACCGCCCACGCAGACGGGAAAGGGGGCUUUUAAUUUUAUAUCCCUGCUUCAAAUAAAAUGAUUUAAUGAGCUUCAA